rnacentral:lncRNA from 1 species
UGAUCCAACAAGGUUGGAAGAGUUUGAAGUGAGUUUAAAGGGGUUAGGAAGGUUUUAGCAUUGUUAAUUGCGAAGUAGAAUCGAAACGACGCAGAAAUCUGAAGUCUGGAACUUGUGCCGGUACAACAUCAGAGUUGUAUCGGUACAUUGUGGCAAACCGAGGGGAAGAGCUCUCGGGUUUGAGAGAAAACUGAUUUUGUGCCGGUACAAAUGGGUGUACCGGUACAAAUGUUGCGUGCUCGAGAGAAGCUG